AAGACCUGUAAAACUUUAAUUACAUCUCUUGAAUGCAACUCAAACACUUUAAUUAAGCUAAAGCCUC
rnacentral:tRNA from 1 species